rnacentral:snRNA from 1 species
GUGCUUGCUUUGGCAGCGCAUAAGCUAGAACUGGACACAACCAAGGAGAUUAGCAUGGCUCCUUUCUAAGACGCCAUGCAAAUUUAUGAAGCCUUCCGUAGUUUU